GAUGAACGCUGGCGGCGUGCCUAAUACAUGCAAGUCGAGCGAACAGACGCGGCUCUUGCUCCUCUGACGUUAGCGGCGGACGGGUGAGUAACACGUGGAUAACCUACCUAUAAGACUGGGAUCACUUCGGGAAACCGGAGCUUAUCCCGGAUAAUCUCUUGAACCGCAUGGGUCGAUGGUGAAAGACGGUGUUGCUGUCACGUCUAGAUGGAUCCGCGCCGCAUUGGCUAGUUGGUAAGGUAACGGCUUACCACGGCAACGAUGCGUGGACGACCUGAGAGGGUGAUAGGCGACACUGGAGGUGGGACGCGGACAAUGCGACUAAGGGAGGCAGCAGUAGGGAAUCGGCGGCAAUGGGCGAGAGCAUGACGGAGCAACGGGGAGUGAGAGACGACGAUGCUCGGAGCGUAAUACUCUGUUAUGAGGGAAGAACAAAUGUGUAAGUAAAUAUGCACGUCUUGACGGUAACUAAUAAGAAAGCCACGGCUAACUACGUG
rnacentral:rRNA from 1 species